rnacentral:rRNA from 1 species
UACGUAGGGUGCGAGCGUUGUCCGGAUUUAUUGGGCGUAAAGAGCUCGUAGGCGGCUUGUCGCGUCGGAUGUGAAAGCCCCGGGGCUUAACUCCGGGUCUGCAUUCGAUACGGGCAGGCUAGAGUGUGGUAGGGGAGAUCGGAAUUCCUGGUGUAGCGGUGAAAUGCGCAGAUAUCAGGAGGAACACCGGUGGCGAAGGCAGGUCUCUGGGCCACUACUGACGCUGAGAAGCGAAAGCAUGGGGAGCGAACAGG